rnacentral:lncRNA from 1 species
UCAAAGGCUAAAUAUAAUGGCUUAAGUAUUUGUGAUUAUAUAUUAGGGAUAACCCUAAUUGUUAAAUUAGAAAUCCUAAUGUUUUGUAUAAAACCCUAAGGGAUUAAAAGUUAUGUGUGUAAUGAAUAUGAAUAUUAUGUGUUUGUUUGUUUAUUAUAUAAACAAAUAAAAUAAACUAAUGUAAUCCUAAUUAUAUAUUAAGAAUGAAUGAUUGAAUAACUUAAGAGUUAUGAGUUGGGGGAAAUAAUAGUAUUUAGAUAUAUACUAAUUCUAAGAGAUUUAUUUUAUAUAUCUCGAUUAAUUAAUUUUAUAACCUCAUUAUAGCAAGUCUAAUUGGGUUAAGGAAAUAAAUGUGCAUGAGUAAGAAUUUGUGUUUUAAAUGAGAAGAGAAAACCCUAAUUAAAUUAUUUGGGUUGGAUAAGAAUUUAAGGUAUUGGACUAUGUAUAUUUUAUAGCCCAAGUGUUGGCCCAAUGAAAUUGAUUAGAGGCCCAAGCAAUACAUUAAUUGAGUGGCCCAACUUUUAGCCCAAGUGGGAGGGAUAUGUUGGACAAUUAGUAAAUCAAUUAAGCAUUAAAGGAAAGCCCAAAAGAUUAUAAGUGAUGGCCCAAUUUUGAGCCCAAUUGAAGGAAGGGCAUGAUGGACAUUUGGUAUUAUUAAGAGUGUUGGACUAUGAUUGAUUUACAUGGCCCAAAGAAUUAAAUUCUUUAUGUCCAAUAGAUUAAUUUUGCAAGCCCAACUUAAAGUCCAAAGGGAUUAAAUAUGGUGGCCCAAACAUUAUUUAAAAAAGCCCAAAAUUUGAUCCAAGUAAGGAGGGGCAUUUUAGUCUUUGGAGACACUAGAUAUUCAUUAAAAAGGAAGCAAGACUUGGUGAAAUAAUGGGCCACUUGGCCGAAUUUUUGUGGGAGAAAAGGAGAGGAAGUGGUGGGUUACACAUCACCAUUAUAAUCACCACAUGUUCCAUAAGAUUUUUCAUAACUUAGCUAGGUGUCAUCCAUUUUAAGGAGCCACUUUGCUUUCAAUCUCCCACACAUGUAUGCAAUGAUUACUAAGAGAGAGAAUGAGUGGAGAAUGUAGAGAAGAAAGGCACAUGGCCGGUUGAGUAUGAGAGAAAAAGAGAGUGGGUUGGAUAAUUGAUAAAAAAAAAAAUCUAUCUCAUUUCUCUUUCAUCUCUUUUAUUCUUCCAAGUUAGCAAAGAACUAAAGAUAGAGCGAGAGAGAGAGGGUGGCCAUUUCGGCAGCUCCAAGAGAAGGGGGAGAGGGGAUUUUAACUUUCAUAAACCCAAGACCCUCAUCACAUCUUUGAAGGAGAGAAAGAAAAGCAAAGGUAUAAAAAUACUUUUCCUAAGUUUUUCUCUAUUUUAGUUUAUGGAUUUGAUUUAGGGGUUUUUGAUUUGGUAGUUCAAACCCUAAGAUCUAUGUGAUUUAUAUGAUUUCAAGUAUGGAUCUACCCAUAAUGGGUUUUGAUUUGGUUUGAAUCAAAAAGAAAAGAAAAAUAAUUUUUCUAGUUUUGAAAACCCUAACUUUUAGGUGUUUUGAAUGUUUACCGUUUCUGAUCUAGAGAUUCUUUUCUCGAUCCGUCUAAGAGUAGUGCUAGAUAUUUGUGUUUACUAGUUAACCCAAGUGGUAGAACUCAAAAAUCACGUUUCUAAAACUCGUGGUGUUGAUUUAUGUGAAAACAGUCCCAUUUCUAGGAACUGUUUUGGAUCAGUCCGUAGCAGGGGCAUUUUCGUACCCUUUUUGUGCUUUAUAAAUUCUGGAAAAUUUUGGAGUGUUAAUAUCAGUAGAUAUGCAGGUUGUGUAAAAAUUUGAGAAUUUUUGGCCUUACGGUUUGAGAGAUAUGGAUUUUACGGUGAAGGACCCCAAAACUGUUUUUGGCCAAAAAGUUGCUGCCCAGAUUUUUACGAGGGCUGUUUUGGCCACUUAAACUGUGAAAUAAAUUCCGGCCUUUUGGGAAAUGAAAAAAUAUGGUAUUAAGUACCUCAUGUCCAAAAAUGAGCUAAUUCCGACUUAAAAUGACCGAGUUAUGACCAUUUCAAUUUUUAUGAUUUUCUGACGAAAACGGCUAUAACCGGAGUUCUACAACUCCGAUUGCCACGAAAUUUAAACUGGAGUGUCACGUUAACAUGUGUAAGAUUGUGUCAGAAGACGGAAAUUUCUGGAGUUAAGCACAAGGUAGCUAAUUUCUUAAGGAAUUAACUAGAAAUGAUUUUUUUGAAAAAUACUAAAGAAACUUGGAAAAUUAUGGAAAAAUAAUUUUUGUGUAUGAAAUAUAUGUAUAUGUGUUUGACCAAAGGAUAGAAAAAUAAUAAGUUGAUUUGGUAUUUUUCGUGAAAAAGAAUAGUGAUUUCGGGAUACUGAAAUAAAAUCCGUCUUACUGAAAUGGUAUUUCGGUUUACUAAGAUGUUAUCUAAUUUACUAGGAUAACAUAUAAAAAUGAAUAACUUAUAAGUACAAGUUAUGAUGUGAUUAAAAGAAUAUCAAAGUAUAAUAAUAAUAUUAAGACUUAAACCUAAUGUCUAAUACUUAACUAUAUGUUAUGACUAACCGAAAGAUCUAUUAUAGGUUUUAUAUGCUGUAUAGACUGAUAGGAUUAUGUGUUAUGUGUUAUGUGUUUAGGUUAUUCUAUAACAGUAUUAUACUGUGAUGAUAUUAUUCUAAUAUUGGAGAUCUGUAUUAUUAAUAUUAGGUCUUCAGACGAAGCUUAUUAUAUUGCGUUACGGUAAUCAACGGUUCAGGCAAGUUUGUUAUUACUUAACUCUAUUAAGAGUAGUUUCAUUCAGAUAUGCUUAUGGUUAAUCAUUGCUGAUUGUCAUGGAUAAUUGUACUCUAUACAUCUUGCAUGUAUUCGUCAGGUAUGAAAGGCUGAUCACCUUCAUUAUCAGUUGGUCCAGAUAUAUUAUUGUUCAUGUUCAAUACUUGUUCAGUCAAAAUUUUGUUCAUGCUAAUUCACAAAUACAUUGUGAAGGAUAGCCAGUUUAUUAUUCAAACUCUUUCAAUCAUGAUAUAUCUUUACAUUGUUUUUAAACUUGCUGGGCAACUUUCAUGCUCACCCUUGCUAUAUCAUGAUAAAACAUUGCAGAUAAGGCGAAUACAGCCAGUUACAGGAAAAGGAAAAUGCCAAGUUCAGCUUGGGAUAGAAUGUGCAGCUAAUUUUUAAAAGUAUGGUUGAAGAAUAGUUUUGUCAUGUGUUAGAUAGUUUAUGAUUGUGUAUUAGUUAAGGUUACUCUAUUUUGGGGAAAUAGUGUAUAAAGUUUAAUGUAUAAACAAUUUAUGUUUAUAUCUUCCGCAAACAGUUAUAGAAUUAGCGAACCGGAUCCGCGGCGAUUCGGGGGCGCUACAA